GGCAGUGGUGGCUCAGUGGUUAAGGCUCUGGGUUACUGAUCAGAAGGUCAGAGGUUCAAGCCCCAGCGCUGCCC